CGGUCUUCGCCUUCCUUUCUUUUUUUCUCUCCCCACACUUAGUUUCUUUGGCUCUGCUUUCUUCUGCUCUCUUGGCUUUUUUUUCUGGCUUACUUUUUUUUCCCCCCUCCUCACAUCACUCUGCGUGCUCUUCUCCUGGUCUUUCUUUUGCCAGAAGUUGAUCUACAAGGCAUCUGAUUUCUGUGUGCGUGUGAGUAAUUUCUUCGCAGGAAGAAAAACUUUUGUGGGUUUUUUUCCUUCUUCUUCUUCUUGGUGUGCGUGUGUGUUGCUCUGCUCUUCGCUUUCCCCUUGAUCUUCACAUGCUUGUCUUUAGCUCUUCCUCCAUCCUGUCUCCUUUUCUGUCGGUCUUUUCCUUUCUGCCCUUCCUGGCUGACUUUUGUUCUCUCCUGCCGAAAACGCACGCUCGCACACACCGAAGACCUUGGGCAGUUUGGUCUUUCACCUCUCCUUCCUUCUUCUUUGUCUUGCAGCUUCUUUCUCCAAGCAGAGACUCCCCGUUGGUGGUGGUGGUCACUUCCUGUUGUCCAUUGAUGAUGACAGAAGGAGAAAAGAAAAGAAAAGGCGGAACAGUGCGAGUGCAUCAGGCUGGCCGGUGGGAGAGGGAUGGAAGGGUGCUGUGGCACUUGAACUACCGUUUGUCCAAUAUCCUUGUAGUGUCGAUCCAAAAUACAUUCGAAGCAUUUAAAAAUGGACUGGCUCACCUGCACAGGUAAGUGGAUUAGAAACCAGGUCCAGAUUUUCUUUGUGGUGGGAUUUGUCAGCUCUGCAAUGAGCAUGCAAGGUAAAACCACUCACAUGAUGAUAGCCCGUUCUUGCUGCUCUUCACAUAUAUUUUUUUCAGAGGGACAGAUACACUCUUCACCUUAAUGUGGGAACCCAUGGACCAUGCGUCCACGUGAAGAGAGGUAAGAACAGAAAACAGUGAGAAAAAAAAUUUUGGCUUUGUCGAUACAGCUUGGCUGAGAAAACAUUAAAUCCAGGCCAGGUUAAGCUAGGAGCUUAGACCUGGGCUGGCUGGGUGGUGAAGACAAGCCCUGAAGUGCUUCUGCACAAACUGGACCUUAGGUACUGAUGCUGUGUUAAUCCAGUCAGGAAGCCUUUCUUGGGUUGGCUACUGAGGCUGUUGUGAACCUUGUCCUAGAUUCAGAUGCCUAAUGUGAGAGUUAAUCCUUAAAAGAGGUGCUGAGGGUUAAGGGGUGCAGUCAUUUAGUAUAUGUGAAGAACAGCAGCAUCUUAAACAUCACCAAGGAAAGGAAACAGUAUGUUGAACAAACAGCAAUGACCAUGAUAAGGAAAAGCAAACCAAUGCCCCUCUAAUUUGCCCCAGGACCAAAUGUAUUCCUGCUUACAGGAUUCAGUAGUCCUAAUUAUUUGGACCUACUGAUUUCAAUGGGAAUUACGCCCUGAUGUAACAGAAAUCAAAUGUAGCUGUUACAUCAGAUUGGUGUAAGUUACAGUCAUUUUGAACAUCUGUUGAAUCACAGACAGGCAUGAUUAUGUACUUCACCCCCUAUAGUCAUUUCCUUACCUAAUUAUAUCCAACCACUUCAUAUGCUACUGUUGAAUUUGCCCAGGUAUAUUUUUGAGUCAGUACUCCUGUAGCUCUCCAAAUGCUAUGACGUUGAGAAAAGAAAGUACUUUUUAAAAUUAAGAGCAGUUUACAAUACGUUACACUUUCAACAUUCAAUUAAAUAAUAAAGAUAUGAGAAUAAAAUCCUUUUGCA
rnacentral:lncRNA from 1 species